rnacentral:tRNA from 1 species
GAGCGUAUAGCUCAAGCACUAGAGCACAUGCUUAGCAUGCACGAGGUCCUGGGUUCAAUCCCCAGUACCACCU